rnacentral:rRNA from 1 species
GACGAACGCUGGCGGCGUGCCUAAUACAUGCAAGUAGAACGCUGAAGAGAGGAGCUUGCUCUUCUUGGAUGAGUUGCGAACGGGUGAGUAACGCGUAGGUAACCUGCCUUGUAGCGGGGGAUAACUAUUGGAAACGAUAGCUAAUACCGCAUAACAAUGGAUGACACAUGUCAUUUAUUUGAAAGGGGCAAUUGCUCCACUACAAGAUGGACCGGCGUUGUAUUAGCUAGUAGGUGAGGUAAUGGCUCACCUAGGCGACGAUACAUAGCCGACCUGAGAGGGUGAUCGGCCACACUGGGACUGAGACACGGCCCAGACUCCUACGGGAGGCAGCAGUAGGGAAUCUUCGGCAAUGGGGGCAACCCUGACCGAGCAACGCCGCGUGAGUGAAGAAGGUUGUCGGAUCGCAAAGCUCUGUUGUAAGUCAAGAACGGGUGUGAGAGUGGAAAGUUCACACUGUGACGGUAGCUUACCAGAAAGGGACGGCUAACUACGUG